CCUACUUCCUGCCGUGGCGUUUCCUGGGUAUCAGUGGCUCCGCGACUCUUGGGAAAGUUUAAGAAUGAAAUGAAUGAAGGAAGGAGUAUAAACAGAGAAGAGUCCUGAAGACUGAUUGUGGAAUACUCCAAAUUUUAGAGGUUGAAAAAAGGAAGAGGAUCCAACAAAAGAGAUGCAUGUAGCAGCAAAACCAGAAGAGUGUGUGUGGUGUCCUGGAUGUGAAAGAAAAAAAAGUGUUUCAAGAUGGAAGGAGUGAUAAACUGUGUCACAAACUCUGGGGCAAUAUUGUGAAGAAAACAAGUGACAGAAGUGACUGUCACCAUUUUGCAGAUGAGGACACUGAGGCUCCAAGACGUCUCAUUGCUGAAACCUGGCAGUGGACUUUGGCACCAAAAGUCUCUGGGGGAUAGCUGGUGUGAGUCUGACCUCCCAUGAUGAAACCAAUUCUGAGGUUUCUGGGCUAGCAAAGCAGAACCCU